rnacentral:rRNA from 1 species
GACGAACGCUGGCGGCGUGCCUAAUACAUGCAAGUCGAACGCUUCUUUCCUCCCGAGUGCUUGCACUCAAUUGGAAAGAGGAGUGGCGGACGGGUGAGUAACACGUGGGUAACCUACCCAUCAGAGGGGGAUAACACUUGGAAACAGGUGCUAAUACCGCAUAACAGUUUAUGCCGCAUGGCAUAAGAGUGAAAGGCGCUUUCGGGUGUCGCUGAUGGAUGGACGCGCGGUGCAUGAGCUAGUUGGUGAGGUAACGGCUCACCAAGGCCACGAUGCAUAGCCGACCUGAGAGGGUGAUCGGCCACACUAGGACUGAGACGCGGACCAGGCUCCUGCGGGAGGCAGCAGUAGGGAAUCGUCGGCAAUGGACGAGAGUCUGACCGAGCAACGGCGCGUGAGUGAAGAAGGUUUUCGGAUCGUAAAACUCUGUUGUUGGAGAAGAACAAGGACGUUAGUAACUGAACGUCCCCUGACGGUAUCUAACCAGAAAGCCACGGCUAACUACGUG